GUGCUUGCACCGGUCCAAGGAGUUGCGAACGGGUGAGUAACGCGUAGGUAACCUACCUCAUAGCGGGGGAUAACUAUUGGAAACGAUAGCUAAUACCGCAUGACAAUGGAGGACUCAUGUCUUUCAUUUAAAAGGUGCAAUUGCAUCACUAUGAGAUGGACCUGCGUUGUAUUAGCUAGUUGGUGAGGUAACGGCUCACCAAGGCGACGAUACAUAGCCGACCUGAGAGGGUGAUCGGCCACACUGGGACUGAGACACGGCCCAGACUCCUACGGGAGGCAGCAAUAGGGAAUCUUCGGCAAUGGACGGAAGUCUGACCGAGCAACGCCGCGUGAGUGAAGAAGGUUUUCGGAUCGUAAAGCUCUGUUGUUAGAGAAGAAUGAUGGUGGGAGUGGAAAAUCCACCAUGUGACGGUAACUAACCAGAAAGGGACGGCUAACUACGUGCCAGCAGCCGCGGUAAUACGUAGGUCCCGAGCGUUGUCCGGAUUUAUUGGGCGUAAAGCGAGCGCAGGCGGUUCUUUAAGUCUGAAGUUAAAGGCAGUGGCUCAACCAUUGUACGCUUUGGAAACUGGAGAACUUGAGUGCAGAAGGGGAGAGUGGAAUUCCAUGUGUAGCGGUGAAAUGCGUAGAUAUAUGGAGGAACACCGGUGGCGAAAGCGGCUCUCUGGUCUGUAACUGACGC
rnacentral:rRNA from 1 species